AGCCUGAACGCUGGCGGCGUGGCUAAGACAUGCAAGUCGCACGGGUGUAGCAAUACAUCAGUGGCGGACGGGUGAGUAAUGUAUCGCUAACGUACCCCAAAGCCUGGGAUAGCUGCCCGAAAGGGCAGGUAAUACCAGAUUAUAUAUCCUUAUCGCAUGACGAGGAUCUCAAAGGGUCACCGCUUUUGGGGAGCGGGGCGAGUAUACGGUAUCAGCUAGUUGGUAGGGUAAUGGCCUACCAAGGCGACGACGCGUAGCCGGACUGAGAGGUUGGCCGGCCACAUUGGGGACUGAGACACUGCCCAGACUCCUACGGGGGGCUGCAGUAACGAAUCUUCCGCAAUGCACGAAAGUGUGACGGAGCGACGCCGCGUGUGGGACUAAGUCCUUCGGGAUGUAAACCACUGUCAGGGGUUAGAAAGUUCUGAUCAACCCCAGAGGAAGGCACGGCUAACUCUGUGCCAGCAGCCGC
rnacentral:rRNA from 1 species